CCUACGGGUGGCAGCAGUGGGGAAUAUUGCACAAUGGGCGCAAGCCUGAUGCAGCCAUGCCGCGUGUGUGAAGAAGGCCUUCGGGUUGUAAAGCACUUUCAGCGGGGAGGAAGGCGUUAAGGUUAAUAACCUUGUCGAUUGACGUUACCCGCAGAAGAAGCACCGGCUAACUCCGUGCCAGCAGCCGCGGUAAUACGGAGGGUGCAAGCGUUAAUCGGAAUUACUGGGCGUAAAGCGCACGCAGGCGGUCUGUCAAGUCGGAUGUGAAAUCCCCAGGCUCAACCUGGGAACUGCAUUCGAAACUGGCAGGCUAGAGUCUUGUAGAGGGGGGUAGAGUUCCAGGUGUAGCGGUGAAAUGCGUAGAGAUCUGGGGGAAUACCGGUGGCGAAGGCGGCCCCCUGGACAAAGACUGACGCUCAGGUGCGAAAGCGUGGGGAGCAAACAGGAUUAGAUACCCCUGUAGUC
rnacentral:rRNA from 1 species